CCAGUUUUACCUGAAGGGCUGCAAUGGGGCACAGAGGGAUAAAAAGCCUGGGUGUUUUUUUUUUGGUAGUGGAGGCUUUCAGAAAAAGAAUUGGAAGGGUUGAUUGAAAAAGUUAGUGCCCGACUGUCUAAGUGGACCUGGAUCCGCCCUCAGUUUGUCUUAUAGGGGAAGGGCCCUGGUGGUUAAUAACCUGGCUGCUUCCAUGCUUUGGCAUAAAUUCACUGUGAUGGAGCCUCCGGAAACACUAGUGAAGGAAAUCCAGAAGAGGCUAGUGGAUUUCUUCUGGGGAGGUGUGCACUGGACUCGGGCGGCAUUGCUAUAUUUGCCAUUGUCAGAAGGAGGCCAGGGAUUGGUGGACCUGAAGAGUCGUGUGGCAGCCUUUCGCCUGCAGAGUGCUCAACGGUACUUAUACCACGAUCCGCAAAUGUGGACGGAAACAGCGACGGUACUCCUCCGCAGAGUAAUGGAUUUACAAUAUGAUAGACACUUGUUUUUACUGGAUUUGAGUAAAGUUGAUCCUUCCCGGGCUUCACCCUUUUAUCAGUCAAUGAUUCGGGUGUGGACGAAGACAAUAAAGAUUAAUAGAGACUGCGAAAUGUUCUAUAGAUGUGUGGCAGAGGAGCCCCUGUUCUUCAACCCGCUAAUCCAGUGCAGGAGCCUUUUGUCAGUAACUGUACAGAAGAUGCUGGUGUCGGCCGGGGUGACAAAGUUGCAGGGGCUGAUGGACGAUGGGAAUUGGAUCGCUGCCACAACGCUGAGCCAGAAGACAGGGUCCAGAUCAACAAGGUUUCUGCAGAAGUUGAUGGAAGAGGUGAGGGCCAGUCUGCCUGGUCCUUUUAGAGAAGCCAUAGGAAGAUCCGUGGCGAAGGAAGAACUGAUCGACUGGCCAGCUUUUCCUCCAUUGGGAGUUAGUGCUGCCACAGGGGAAGGAGGUGAGAGAGAGGGGGCAUUGUUGUCCUUUCGGGCACCUGAGCUAACAGAACUAUCAACGACACUGAGGAAAUCCCUUUAUUGGUUAGCGGUGAAGGUAAACAACAGAGGCUGUCUU
rnacentral:lncRNA from 1 species